rnacentral:rRNA from 1 species
CAUGAGUUUGAUCCUGGCUCAGGAUGAACGCUGGCGGCGUGCCUAAUACAUGCAAGUCGAGCGAAUGGAUUAAGAGCUUGCUCUUAUGAAGUUAGCGGCGGACGGGUGAGUAACACGUGGGUAACCUGCCCAUAAGACUGGGAUAACUCCGGGAAACCGGGGCUAAUACCGGAUAACAUUUUGAACCGCAUGGUUCGAAAUUGAAAGGCGGCUUCGGCUGUCACUUAUGGAUGGACCCGCGUCGCAUUAGCUAGUUGGUGAGGUAACGGCUCACCAAGGCAACGAUGCGUAGCCGACCUGAGAGGGUGAUCGGGCCACACUGGGGACUGAGACACGGGCCCAGACUCCUACGGGGAGGCAGCAGUAGGGGAAUCUUCGCAAUGGACCGAAAGUCUGACGGAGCAACGCCGCGUGAGUGAUGAAGGCUUUACGGGGUCGUAAAA